UACGUAGGGGGCAAGCGUUGUCCGGAAUCAUUGGGCGUAAAGCGCGCGUAGGCGGCCCGGUAAGUCCGCUCUGAAAGUCCAGGGCUCAACCCUGGAAAGCGGGUGGAUACUGCCGGGCUAGAAUCCGGAAGAGGCGAGUGGAAUUCCGUGGUGUAGCGGUGGAAUGCGCAGAUAUCAGGAGGAACACCGGUGGCGAAGGCGGGUCUCUGGCCGAUACUGACGCUGAGGCACGAAAGCGUGGGGAGCAAACAGG
rnacentral:rRNA from 1 species